UCGAUCAUGGUGCUGUCUGCCGGGUGUGCAAAGCGGCAGUCUGUCUCUCCCCGGGCACAGUUUCCUCGCUGGAACUCCCUGCAUACCUGAGAUAACGGGAAAGAGCAGAGUGCUGCAGAAGAAAGCCUGGUGGCCACCGCGCCAACGGAGGGGAAAGAGCCCAGAAAAUUGUGAAGUAGCCUCUUCUGGGCUCCGGUCCCAUAGCCAGGAAACGUAAGCAUUGGUUUGUUUCCUGGUCACCAGUGAUGUUGCUGAAGGGACAGAGAUAAGAAGCUCAAGUCUGUACAAGGCAGUCAUUUCUGAGGAUUUCACUGACCUGUGGCCAAGCCAGGUUGACAGAAAUGAAAACAUCAGAAAUCCUUUCUUGCCUGAACCGUAUACACAUAGAGAAGAACUGAAAAUACUCAUUUCCGCCCAAAUUACCUAUCACUCCAAGCUACUGAGUGCUCUAACCCAAAGGCAGUAAGACGUACAGAACAUAGACUGGCCAUCUAUGCAUAUGCCUACAGGUAUCUACAAGGCACAUGAGUAAAACCCCCCUUGGUUAUAGCUGAUAUUCAAGUUGGCCAAAUCCAUGCUUGGAAGCACGGGGAGUGUACUCAGGAUUUAUUUUGUUCAGACGUACCAACAUGUUUCAGUUUUUCAUCACUAGCAUGUGC
rnacentral:lncRNA from 1 species